GAUAAACGCUGGCGGCGUGCAUGAGACAUGCAAGUCGAACGAACGAGCUUGCUCGUUAGUGGCGGACGGCUGAGUAACGCGUAGGUGACCUGCCCCGAAGUGGGGGAUAACUGCCCGAAAGGGUGGCUAAUACCGCAUGUGGCGACACUUUCAUUGGUGUCAUCAAAGCCGCGAGGCGCUUCGGGAGGGGCCUGCGUCCGAUUAGCUCGUUGGUGGGGUAAUGGCUCACCAAGGCGACGAUCGGUAGGUGGUCUGAGAGGACGAUCACCCGGCCUGGGACUGAGACACGGCCCAGACUCCUACGGGAGGCAGCAGUCGGGAAUUUUGCUCAAUGGGCGCAAGCCUGAAGCAGCAACGCCGCGUGCGGGAUGAAGGCCUUCGGGUUGUAAACCGCUUUUGUCAGGGACGAUGAUGACGGUACCUGACGAAUAAGUCACGGCUAACUACGUGCCAGCAGCCGCAGUAA
rnacentral:rRNA from 1 species